rnacentral:rRNA from 1 species
GACGAACGCUGGCGGCGUGCUUAACACAUGCAAGUCGAACGGUGAAGCGCCUUCCUUUUUGGUGGGUGUGGGUGAGUGGCGAACGGGUGAGUAACACGUGAGUAACCUGCCCCCUUCUACUGGAUAACCGCAUGAAAGUGUGGCUAAUACUGGAGAUUCUGGGUCUGUCGCAUGAUGGGUCUGGGAGAGAUCUUGUUUCGGUGGGGGAUGGGCUCGCGGCCUAUCAGCUUGGUGGUGGGGUGACGGCCUACCAAGGCGGUGCGGUGUGGCCGGCCUGGGAGGGUGGACGGUCACAGUGGGGAGGCGACGCCGAGACGCCUCCGACAGGAAGCAGCAGGGAGGAAUAGUGCACAAGGGGCGGAAGGCUGACGCAGCGACGCCGCUGGGGGGAUGGUGUCCGGCGGGUUGUGAACUUCUUUCGGGAGUGAAGCAGGCCUGCCUCGUGUGUGGGUGGGUUGACGUUAGCUGGAGAAGAAGCGCCGGCUAACUACGUG